CCCCCCUCUCCUGCCUAUCUGGGGGUCUUAUCCCUGGGUCCUGGAGUGGUCCUGUGUGGUGAUGGCUCCUCUGUGGUGGUUUUCCUGGUCCUGAAGGUAGGAGAUGGAGUUGGGUUCUGUGUCCUGCUGAAGGAAAAAACUCAGUUUAUUUCAAGCCCCAGAAAAGGAUGCGGUGUCUGUUCCUGUGCUUGAGCCUUGUUCCCUUGCUGCUGAUCUUGUUUCGUGGGUAACACGAGGAGGGAGAAAAAUGAUCCCAUAAGCAAUGGGCUGUUUGGCACGGCAAGCUCUGUGAAAGAAACACUUAAUAGACUGAGUAACAAAUACUUACUGCAGAAAUCUGUAUUUCUGGAUAGAAGUUUCUUGAGCUUCCUGAGCU